GAGCUCUCACUUUGGCAGCACGUGUACUAAAAUUGGAACAAUACAGAGAAGGUUAGCAUGGCCCCUGCGCAAGGAUGACCUGCAAAUUCAUGAAGUGCUAACAUAUUUU